UGAAUCAUCGUAAAACUCAGAAGAAAAUCCAGAAUCAGCAUGAGCCUGAAGUGAAAGGAACAGACAUGAAUUUUUCAGCCCUGGGGAGGAGGAGAGUCAGCGGAGAGGUGGGAGCACAGGAGAUUGGCUUGAAGUUCAUACAGGAGACUGCAGUCCAAAGAGAAAUAUUGGUAAUUAGCAGAGGUAUGGAGCACGCUGGGGAUUCAUCAGAGGCUGUAGAAGGGAGACUACUAAAUGAAAGCCACAACAGCUGAGCAGGAGAGCCCGUGGAUGCAGAUUAGUGUGUGAGAUAAAAAGCCACCAUGUCUCCAGGAAAACAACAGGAGCCUGCAGGGGAACACAGAGCUGGAGGACACUGCUAGCCAUGCUGUCGAUAGCGCUGCAGUCACCUUCAGGAUGAUGAGCCACGAACUCAUCUUGGGGCUCUUCAGGAGCGUGGAAACACAACCUCUAAGUGAGCUGGGAUGAGCAGCAAAGCCUGGGGAAGAGUUCCGAGCAGACAGCCUUUCAUCCAGAGGAAUGCAGGAGAGAACAAGCACGGCUGGGUGGUGGAACAAGUGAUCCUAUCUCCCCCUCUGCUGGAAACCCACGAUAUGACCUCCAGACAGAAACAGGAGCCCAUAUAGAGGAAUCUGCCCUGUCUUUUUCCGCAGGACCACGACUCUGAAGUCACAACCUCCCGAUUCUCCAACAGUGC